GUUGCAGGCAGGCAGUCUUACUGUAGUUUUAGUAAGAGUCUUUUGGCCUCUGCACUAGUAAUUAAAAAUCAUGAUAAUACCAUGGAAACUUGGAUACAAUGAAUAAUAGAUUGAAUAUCAAUCGCUUAACUGUUAAACACAUAUUCAAGUAUUGGAUGUUAAGCAGUCAUGUCUAAACACCAUGCACAGAACUUGAUGUUUGCACCUAAAGAGUUACAAAUAACCUGGAGAAUCAACCUGCUUUCAAAGAAAGCAUGCUUGGCUGCAAAGUCAGCCUUAUUUUCCCAGACAUGGACCAUUUCUCAUAAUUCCUGAGUCUGUUUAGUAAUUGUUGCUAUUUGCAGCCUUCAGCAAUUUGGACGUAGUCUGCACACAAUCUAAGCAAGGAGUUUGGUCUGUAUUGAUUGUGUGUAAUCCUUCCAUGGUUUCCCGUGUCUCUCACAACUGCAGCACACUGGUGAAGAGGCUGCGUACAGCAGUCAAAUUACUGGUACUUCAGCAGAAUGGGAGUGUUGGAAGAACCAGUAAAGGUUUAAGGAUAAUAAUGUUUGGUGAUUCAAGAGGAAAGAUCUCUGAAACUUGCUCCAAGAUCAUUUGAAGAGUCCUAUGGCCUUUUUCAAAAAUCUUCAGAUGGAGAGUCAUCAUUAUUGUCAGCACCUAAGGAUGCAGGCAAGAAACUCUGUACUUUAUUUAUCUCUAUUUGUCUCUCCUUUCCUCACACACUCGCACAUACAGAAAGUUUAACUUUGUU
ensembl:lncRNA